GAAGCGUAUAUUCUGUCUAACGAUUCCUUUUGUUAUUCAAUUGGAUGUAUAGUGACGAUUAUGAUAUUAACCACAUAAAAGUGAGAUACAUUUUUCAGUAAAAUAUCUUUGUUGUAAUAGGGACAAUAACGGAAAGGGAAAAAGUUGUUUCUUCUUUUUUUGUACAUGUAACUCAAUGAAGACUCAUUGGUGUUGAACUAGCUCUGUAUUUUUAGCUGUUUUUAUAUGUUUGUACAUUAAUUCCUAUUUAUAAUAGAGGAGACCGGGGCUAGCUGUCACAAGGAUGGUUAGAACAUACAAGCGAAAGACCCAUCGAGUUACUCCACCUUUGGAUGUUUUCUUGAGAGCAGCAGAAGCUGUAAAAAAUAAGGAACAUAUUAUUAUAAUAUCUAUUAGGAAAGCUGCACGAGAUUUUGGUAGACAUUAUCGGAGUUUAGCAAGAUUUAUCAGAAGAACGCCAGAGACCAAUAUAACACUCCAAAUGGGAUACAAAAAAUCUCAACUCGUGUGCUGUGAGAGGGAAGAAAUCGAACUAGAACAAUAUUUGAAAAAAGCUUCUGAUAUGUACUUAGGUUUAACACAUAUUGAAGUAAGAAAUUCUUCUUACUUCUUAAGUUUGUAGUGCUUUUAAUGAAAGUUAGAUCCAAUUUACAGCAUGCAAACAAUGGACACAUACAGACUGCACCAAUGGAAACCAAUUUUAUGUGUGCCACAAUUGUGACUCGGAGGACGAUAUGUAGUUCUUUCUAAGUUUGUGAGUUUUUAUUUGAAUAAAAACGUUUUAUUUCUUU